rnacentral:lncRNA from 1 species
GGUAGGUGGACGAUGGUCACCAAGGGUUGGUGACGAACGUGAAUAAAAAUGGUUUGCGUGCGUGGCCUGGUAGAGGUCGAGAGGUAGCCAAUGGUCGCCGAUGUUGGCGACAGGAGAGAAUGAAAGGGGUGUGUGUGUGGCCUGUUAGGUGUCGAGUGGUGGUUAAUGGUCGCCGAUGUCGGUGACGGGAGAGAAUGAUCAGAGUGUGUGUGCGUGGCCUGGUAUAGGUCGAGAGGUGGUUAAUGGUCGCUGAUGCUGGUGACGGGAGAGAAUGAUCAGAGUGUGUGUGUGUGGCCUGGUAUAGGUCAAGAGGUGGUUAAUGGUCGCCGAUGCUGUGACGGGAGAGAAUGAUCAGAGUGUGUGUGCGUGGCUUGGUAUAGGUCGAGAGGUGGUUAAUGGUCGUUGAUGCUGGUGACGGGAGAGAAUGAUCAGAGUGUGUGUGCAUGGUCUGGUAUAGGUCGAGAGGUGGUUAAUGGUCGCUAAUGCUGGUGACGGGAGAGAAUGAUCAGAGUAUGUGUGUGUGGCCUGGUAUAGGUUGAGAGGUGGCUAAUGGUCGCCAAUGUUGGUGACGGGAGAGAAUCAUCAGUGUGUGUGUGUGUGGCCUGGUAUAGGUCGAGAAGUGGCGAAUGGUCACCAAUGUUGGUGACGGGAGAGAAUAAUUAGAGUGUGUGUGUGCGGCUCGAUAAGGGUCGGUAGGUGGAUGAUGG